UGAUUUGAUAAAAAAUAUUUUUGUUUUUAGUGUGAUAUAAUAUUUGUACCGUGAGGGUAUUUUGAAAUAUUUUGAAAUAGUUAUUUUUAUAAAAGUAUAUUUUAUUUGUAUUACCUUUUGUAUCAGGGUUGAUCAACUUUACUUAAUUUUUAAUUUAUUUAGUGUUACAUAACUAUUAAAAAUAUUUAUUAGGAGAGAAAUUCUAUUCGUUUAUAAUGGUAUCUAGUUUUUUAAGAAAUAAAUUUAAUUUAACUUUAAUUUUUCUUUUAAUUAAAUUAAAAUUAAUAGGGGAUAAGCUCUAUUUUUUGUUUAUAGUAGGAUUAUAAUCUUCCAUCUUUUUAUUACGUUAUAGUGUAUUUUAAUUAAAUAUUAAAAUUUUCUAAUUAAUUUAGGAUUAGAAGUAAUAAUGAUUAAAUUAGUAUAUUAUUUUAUGUGUUUUAUCAAUAAGGAACUCGGCAAAUUUUGUGUUCGCCUGUUUAUCAAAAACAUGUCCUUUGGAGGUCUGACCUGCCCAGUGUUAACGGCCGCGGUAUUUUGACCGUGCAAAGGUAGCAUAAUCAUUAGUCUUUUAAUAGGGGGCUGGAAUGAAAGGUUUAACGAAUCAUUAGCUGUCUCAUUUUUAUAAUUUAAAACUUAAUUUUUAAGUUAAAAAGCUUAAAUGUUGUUGGAGGACGAGAAGACCCUAUAGAGCUUUAUAUUACUUAUUAUUUUGUUGGGGUGACAAAAAUAAAUAAUUAACUGUUUUAUUGUUUAAACAUAGAUUUAUGAGUUUUUGAUCCAUUAUUAUUGAUUAUUAGAUUAAGUUACCUUAGGGAUAACAGCGUAAUCUUUUUUUGGAGUUCAAAUUUACAAAAAGGCUUGCGACCUCGAUGUUGGAUUAAGAUUAUAAUCUGGUGCAGUAGCUAGAUUAAUAGGUCUGUUCCACCUUUAAAUUCUUACAU
rnacentral:rRNA from 1 species